CACUGCACUACAUUAUAGUAUAGUAUAUGCUCUACAGUUUACCAAAAAUCAGGAUAUUUUGAGAAUGAAAUUAUUUUGCAUUACUGCACACUAAAAGUUUAUUCAUAAACCAUAAAGUUUAUCAAUUUAUGGAAAUAUGGCGAGAUUUGAAGUGUGACAUCAUUACAAUGUAUUGAAUUACCCCACUGAGUACAUACGCGACCAGGCUAAGAAUGACACACAACGACGAAUAUAUACUAUUAGUCCUUUUGGGGUCGCGUAGCUGCAUGCUAUGUAUUGGGAGGCCCCGCAGUGCCUCGGAAGGUCGUCUCCAAUUUGAUGGGGGUUUUCUAAAGAACGAAGCAAUUCAUUGUUAUAAACACAAAAGCAAUUGUCAUAUCGAGCCAAUGAAAACCACUCUUCCGAGCUACUGCGUGGCUACCCGAUGUAUCAGGGACGUGCUGGUGUCUUAAAAAGGACAACGAAUGAGCAACGUCUGAUGGGGCCCAGGCCCGGUGGCCCCCAAAAUUGUUGGCGGGGAGGGGGAUUUUUUCCGGACGUACAAAAAUUUUUCCAGAUAUAUCGUAAUUUUUCCGGACAUACAAAAAUUUUUCCGGACAUAUUUUUCAAGCUGCCCGGUGUGGAUACACACUCAGAGUAACAUCACAAGCAUAUCAUAUCGUAAUUUUGUUACAUUUUUCCGCAAUAUUUUCGUAAAUUUAAAUUUUUACAAUAUAAAUUGUAAUGUCUUAAUCUUGAUUUUCAAAAUUAAAAUCUAUGUUUUUAAUUUUUUCUAAUGUUUUCAUUUUAGGGGCCAUGAUAUGGCAGGGGCCCACACCUGCUACACCUACUAUGUAUCAUAUGACAUGGCACAUACAUGCAUGUCAUAUGCAUUGCUCCCAAGGCAAAGAGCAAGGAAUUCGCAUCAUUGACAUGCAUAGUCGACUUAAUUUUUGGUGAACCCAUGCAUGCACCAUGCAAAGACCAACUAUUUGCCCAGCUCUGUCUGUGUGUUAUUCUUAGCUAGGUAGUAUAUAUUUUCAGGUAGUUGCAUUCCUACCAAUGAAAGCUUGCUAAAGUCGUUAUAUAAUGUUACUAGUCUACUUGUUUUGAGUAAAAAAACCUUCAUAGAAAGCAUUACUUGUUCAUACAUAAUACGCGUACAAACUUUUAAUUCUUGAAACACACUAGCCUCAAUAUACACGCAGUAUGUUACAUAAUAAGAAGAUGAAAAUAAGAAAUAACGAAAGUAGAAGCAAGAGAACACUGUCUAGUCACUAUGAAUUAUAUAUCAUAUCCAGAUUCAAAGAUGAAAAAAUGAUCGUAUUAAAGCUGUAGUGUAACUUAUUUUUCAGUUUCUUGUUUUUAUGGUUUGUAGGCUAGGUUUGUUCCCGAGAUAUUUCAAUUUGUUUGAUAUGUAAAUGAGUGUGAAUAUGUCCGCUAAAUUAUGACGUCACAUUGGUUGCAAGCUCUUCAAAAUGGUUGGAUAUCACAGCUACCAUCCAAGAUGAUAAUUUCAAACUUCACUCACUGGUAAAUGUGAUGAAACACUGGAGAAAAACGUGAACUGAUAUCUACAGUUUUUAGAGUUAAUAGAUUUAUAACCAGUGUAAGGUCACACUCAUUUACAUAUCAAACAAAUUGAAAUAUCUCGGGAACAAACCAUAAAAACAAGAAACUGAAAAAUGAGUUACACUACAGCUUAAAGCGUUUUUCAUUUUAAGAAGAAAAUAUGAAAUUUGAUGUCAUAUGCACUUUAAAGGAACUUACAGAUUAAUUUUUUACUCAUAUGGUAGGCUAUUCCAAAGUGCAGCACCAUUAUAGUUACAGCACCUCUUGCCGAAAUAGCACCUCUUAGGAAGUGCUAAGUCAGUUUCUCUAUUUCUAAGAUUGUAGGUGUUGUCCGUUUCUUUAUUUAAUUGGAAGGACCAUUUUAGAUUUGGUGCGGUGUGGUCGUUCACAAUUUUAUGGAUGAAGAUUGAUUUUAGGCAGUUGUGGUUUACUCUAGGGGUUCCCAGUGAAGAUUUUCAAGCAGAUUAGGAGAUCAAUUUCUCAUAGGUUGCCCCAGAAAUUACUCCUGCCGCGUGAUUUUGAUAUUUCUGCAGCUGUCGUUGAGGCCAAUUCAGCAAUUGUCCCAGAGCGGGCUGCAGUAACCAAAGUAAGCUUAAUUAAGGUUGAUCAAUGGUAUUAUAUUUCAUUGUUUCACUCGUUUAAAAUACUUAAUUUUAUUUGCAACCAGUCACCAUGCAUAAUAAUUUAUCUUAAUUUGUAAUGAACUUGGCACAGACACAUUGAUUCUCAGUUUCUAUUAAAUAUUAAUUAUAGAGCUGUAGAGCCGGAGCUGCAGAGUUCUAGAGCUGUAAAGUUGUAGAGCUGUAAAAUUGUAGAGCUGUAAAGUUGUAGAGCUGUAGAGUUGUAGAGCUGUAGAGUUGUAGAGUUGUAGAGUUGUAGAGUUGUAGAGCUGUAGAGUUGUAGAGUUGUAGAGCUGUAGAGUUGUAGAGCUGUAGCGUUGUAGAGCUGUAGAGUUGUAGAGCUGUAAAGUUGUAGAGCUGUAGAGCUGUAGAGUUGUAGAGCUGUAGAGCUGUAGAGAUGUAGAGUUGUAGAGCUGUAGUGUUGUAGAGCUGUAUUUAUUUGCAACCAGUCACCAUGCAUAAUAAUUUAUCUUAAUUUGUAAUGAACUUGGCACAGACACAUUGAUUCUCAGUUUCUAUUAAAUAUUAAUUAUAGAGCUGUAGAGCCGGAGCUGCAGAGUUGUAGAGCUGUAAAAUUGUAGAGCUGUAAAAUUGUAGAGCUGUAAAGUUGUAGAGUUGUAGAGUUGUAGAGUUGUAGAGCUGUAGAGUUGUAGAGUUGUAGAGCUGUAGAGUUGUAGAGCUGUAGCGUUGUAGAGCUGUAGAGUUGUAGAGCUGUAAAGUUGUAGAGCUGUAGAGCUGUAGAGUUGUAGAGCUGUAGAGCUGUAGAGCUGUAGAGCUGUAGAGAUGUAGAGUUGUAGAGCUGUAGUGUUGUAGAGCUGUAGGGCUGUAGAGCUGUAGAGCUGUAGCAUUGUAGAGCUGUAAAGUUGUAGAGCUGUAAAGUUGUAGAACUGUAAAGUUGUAGAGCUAUAGAGCUGUAGAGUUGUAGAGUUGUAGAGGUGUAGAGCUGUAGAGUUGUAGAGCUGUAGAGUUGUAGAGCUGUAGAGUUGUAGAGCUGUAGCGUUGUAGAGCUGUAGAGCUGUAGAGUUGUAGAGCUGUAGAGCUGUAAAGUUGUAGAGCUGUAAAGUUGUAGAGCUGUAGAGCUGUAGAGUUGUAGAGCUGUAGAGCUGCAGAGAUGUAGAGUUGUAGCGUUGUAGAGCUGUAGAGCUGUAGAGUUGUAGAGCUGUAGAGUUGUAGAGCUGUAGAGCUGUGGAGCUAUAGAGUUGUAGAGCUGUAGAGUCGUAGAGCUGUAGAGCUGUAGAGCUAUAGAGUUGUAGAGCUGCAGAGCUAUAGAGUUAUAGAGCUGUAGGGUUGUAAAGUUGUAGAGCUGUGGAGUUGUACAGCUAUAGAGUUGUAGAGCUAUAGAGUUGUAGAGUUGGUUCAGCAUAUUUUUUUUUGGAAGCAACAGUUCAGCGUUUUUUUCGGAAACAAUGGUUCAGCAUUUUUUUAUCCAGAAAGACACCAGUCGGAAAAUUCCGUUGUCAUAGAACAUAAUUUUUCAACCCUUGUUUACUUCUGGUAUUGAUCUACAUAUAACAGCUGUGUAAGAUUUCACGCUUCGUGUAGCGCUGUAGAGCUCUACAACAAACCCUACGCUUUUUUUGCUAUCCUAAAACUUGACGGGUCUAUAAUUUU